rnacentral:lncRNA from 1 species
CCAGCGGAGUUUCGAGUCAGACUUGAGCUCGGGCGUAGCGGCUAGACCGGGCUGUGGCGAUAGAGUCCAAAGGAAGGCAGGAUGACUUCAAAGAUCUGCUAGUGCACCUGGAUUCUGGUUUUCUUACUAUUCAGCGAUGGAGGAAGGAGGUCCCAAGCCAAGGAAUGCAGCAUGGGCCUCUAGAAGCUGGAAUGACCCUCACCUCACGGCCAGCAAGAAAUCAGGGAACUCAGUCUUACCCGAGUGAGCAGGAAAUCGAUUCUCCUCUGCAGCCUCUAUAGAGAACACAGCCUGUCAACACCCUGAUUUUGGCCCAAUGAGCCCUGUACCUCCAGAAGUGUAACGUAAUAAAUUUGUGU